rnacentral:rRNA from 1 species
UACGGAGGGAGCUAGCGUUGUUCGGAAUUACUGGGCGUAAAGCGCGCGUAGGCGGCUUUGUAAGUUAGAGGUGAAAGCCCGGAGCUCAACUCCGGAACUGCCUUUAAGACUGCAUCGCUUGAAUCCGGGAGAGGUGAGUGGAAUUCCGAGUGUAGAGGUGAAAUUCGUAGAUAUUCGGAAGAACACCAGUGGCGAAGGCGGCUCACUGGACCGGUAUUGACGCUGAGGUGCGAAAGCGUGGGGAGCAAACAGG